AGAAUCAACGCUGGCGGCGUGCCUAACACAUGCAAGUCGAACGAGAAAAGGACUUCGGUCCUGAGUAAAGUGGCGCACGGGUGAGUAACACGUGACUAACCUACCCUUGAGUGGGGAAUAACUUCGGGAAACCGAGGCUAAUACCGCAUAACACCUACGGGUCAAAGGAGCAAUUCGCUUAAGGGAGGGGGUCGCGGCAGAUUAGCUAGUUGGCGGGGUAAUGGCCCACCAAGGCAGUGAUCUGUAU
rnacentral:rRNA from 1 species